rnacentral:rRNA from 1 species
UACGUAGGGGGCAAGCGUUGUCCGGAAUCAUUGGGCGUAAAGCGCGUGUAGGCGGCUUGGUAAGUCUGCUCUGAAAGCCCGGGGCUCAACCCCGGGAGGCGGGUGGAUACUGUCAAGCUCGAGUCCGGAAGAGGAGUGUGGAAUUCCUGGUGUAGCGGUGAAAUGCGCAGAUAUCGAGAGGAACACCAGUGGCGAAGGCGAGUCCCUGGACAUCUCCUGACACUGAGGCACGAAAGCUAGGGGAGCAAACAGG